rnacentral:rRNA from 1 species
UGGGGAAUAUUGCACAAUGGAGGGAACUCUGAUGCAGCGACGCCGCGUGAACGAAGAAGGCUUUCGAGUCGUAAAGUUCUUUUAUAUGGGAAGAUAAUGACGGUACCAUAAGAAAAAGCCCCGGCUAACUACGUGCCAGCAGCCGCGGUAAUACGUAGGGGGCUAGCGUUGUCCGGAAUCACUGGGCGUAAAGGGUUCGCAGGCGGAAAUGCAAGUCAGGUGUAAAAGGCAGUAGCUUAACUACUGUAAGCAUUUGAAACUGCAUAUCUUGAGAAGAGUAGAGGUAAGUGGAAUUUUUAGUGUAGCGGUGAAAUGAGUAGAUAUUAAAAAGAAUACCGGUGGCGAAGGCGACUUACUGGGCUCAUUCUGACGCCGAGGAACGAAAGCGUGGGUAGCAAACAGG